AAGUUGGUUUGGGUACACACCCUGAAAAUCAUUCCCUCUUAAGUACAAAUACUGUAGACUUUCACUUGGUAGCUUAGGGACCAAACCUACAAACUGGUUAUUGGUAAGGUUGAGAAAACUGAGCUUCCCACAUGAAGAAAGUGAAGAACCAAUAUCACCAUAAAACUUGUUGGAUGACAAAUCCAAGUGCUGCAAAUUGGAGCAAUCUUUGAAUGAAGGAAAAACAGUUGAGAAAUUAUUUGCAGAAAGAUCCAAAUAU
rnacentral:misc_RNA from 1 species